rnacentral:rRNA from 1 species
GAUGAACGCUGGCGGCGUGCCUAAUACAUGCAAGUCGAGCGAACGGACGAGAAGCUUGCUUCUCUGAUGUUAGCGGCGGACGGGUGAGUAACACGUGGAUAACCUACCUAUAAGACUGGGAUAACUUCGGGAAACCGGAGCUAAUACCGGAUGAUAUUUUGAACCGCAUGGUUCAAAAGUGAAAGACGGUCUUGCUGUCACUUAUAGAUGGAUCCGCGCUGCAUUAGCUAGUUGGUAAGGUAACGGCUUACCAAGGCAACGAUGCAUAGCCGACCUGAGAGGGUGAUCGGCUACACUGGAACUGAGAAACGGUCCAGACUCCUACGGGAGGCAGCAGUAGGGAAUCUUCCGCAAUGGGCGAAAGCCUGACGGAGCAACGCCGCGUGAGUGAUGAAGGUCUUCGGAUCGUAAAACUCUGUUAUUAGGGAAGAACAUAUGUGUAAGUAACUGUGCACAUCUUGACGGUACCUAAUCAGAAAGCCACGGCUAACUACGUG